GGUAGAUAGCAAUUGGGUCGGAAGCGCCAAAUCUUUUUUAUUGUUUGGAGGGCGUGCUGGAGAGCGGGGGAGGAAGAGAGCUCAGCAAACGGAGCGGCGGGGCGUUGGAGGGCGUCGGCAAUCGGCCUCGGCGGGAAGCAGCGCCCUCGUCGGCGCCCUCGGCGAACGGCGGCGACGGCGACGGCGAGCGGCGACCUCCGCCGGCGGGGCGGGGUGCGGGAAGCGGCGUCCCUCGGCGGCCUCGGCGGGCGGGACCUCGACGGCGCCCAAUAGCGAUCUCUGCCUCGGCGGGGCGGGGCGCGGGAAAUGGCGUCCCUCGGCGGCCUCGGUGGGCGGGGACCUCGGCGGCGCCCAAAGAACCGACGACAUGAAAGAACCGACGACCUGAAAUCAAAGGUCAGGUAACCAAGUAGGGGUUUAGCAACUGGGUACCAUUUUGUCUUCCAAGUCCGCGUCCGGGUCUUGGACUGUCUGAGAAACCAACUUCGGUUUAGAUUGUAACAGCAAUCCCAAUCGAUAAUUUUAUAUAGAGUGAGCUCGAUGUGAUGGUUAGCAUCAAUUCAUUCUUCUACUGACACUGGUAUAUUACCUCCCUCGAACAGUUUAAAGUUGAUUAUAAUUCGGACUAUAGUUUCUCAACCUUCACGAAGAGCUUAGAAGCAGGUCCGACUACCGUGUGACUUGUUCAAUACGGUACAUACAGGGUAGAAGAAACUAAAAUAAAUGACGAACACUAACCGGAUUAGCAUGGACAUCCUGUAAUAAAAAUAAAAAGAAACACCCCUAAGUCAAUAAAUAAAUGAACGUCCCAAUUAAAAUAAUAACGCGUUUGGACUAUAAGAACACACGACCUAAGUCAAGAACUGAACGUAGAUAAGUUAAAAUACAUAACGACAAGGAUCUUCCGUGUAAACUUCCUACUCUUCCACCGAUAAUUAUUGAAACUUUCUACUCAACUCACUGAAAAAACGAACGUAGUCCGUAUGAACUAAAGACACCUCUAUAUACCAAUUACGAGAUGGCUUCAUACACGUACGUUUCGUAUCAAAAUCUAACCAAACGUAAACUACCGUCUCAACAACCAUAAGCAUCGUACUGUUGGAAGUCUACAACUACGUUUUCCGUUCGCUACGCAAUGAACCACACCAAAAGUAUACCAGAUAAAUUAAUCGAAAACAGACUACAGCAGUACCAUGUUUAGUAUUAAAACGGUUUACAUAACGAACUAUGACCAUCCCUUGUAUUUGUGUAGAUAUACUUGACAAAGUUCGAAACGAAACGAUACAAUAAUUGAAGGUUAUCGUAUAAUGUACUUUAUAAGUAACGUAGAAUAAAACGUCGGACCAGGUGAGUGGUUUUUCCCCGUCGGGUGCCACAAAAACAUCCCUGGCGUUACUUCGUUUCAUCUUAUAACAUAAUCGAACAUAGUUAUAACAAAAACGUCAUGAAAACGUACGUCAUUAGAACAAGCACGGAAACUUUCGCUCCUCUAGGUAGGUCUGACUUUCUUUACGUCGUUCCUUCUAUAAACGAUCUCUCUUUGUACACGUGACGUCAAGACAACUCUCUCUAAUUCAGCCCACGUGUAAACAAACCCCUUAGAAUACCCUUCAUCACUUUGAUACUAUACCUACAACUCCGCAGUGGAUUGUUAACACGAAAGCUCCCGGUUGAACGUAAAAGUGCAGUUCGUACCGACUAAUAGUCUCCCGUUCCUUUCUACCUCAUCGUCUUCGUAACGGAUACUACUCAACUAGCCGAGCUAUCGACAGACGGAAACGGAUGAACCUGCUCCUGCUGUUGUCCAUGUACUGUCAACUGGACGACCUUCUCCACACGACCCUCAUGUUGUAUGUUCGACUGCAGCCAUAGCACUGUAGUAGUUCCUCCAACCGUUACUCUUGUACGCAUACUACAAGUUUAAUUGAUACCCCCAAGCACCGUUACCACUUCUUCCCCUAGUAACCCUUACCUUCAGACUGGUAGUAAGAGGUACCUCGUCUGCUGGAGUCGAUCGGAAACUAACUUUAUAAGUAUAUGUUGUGUGAUACAAACAAGCGUAACACGAUAUCUAGUAUAGUUAUAAAAUUAGGUUUAACACAUUUUCUUUUGACUCCUAUUGCUCAUAUACUCUUCGCUCAUAUCCUCUUCGAAAUUAUAAUCUCAUUGUCCCCUCCUCGUUUACUGACUUCCCCGAUAGUCGGUAGAUUUUCUUUUGACUCCCAUUGCAGUGGUCCACCUUUUGAUAUAAACUAACUGUAGUAUUGUGAUCGUUCCACUUAUUGUUACAUCGACGACUGUAAUACUACUGGCUUCGACACCGGACCUCGAGGACUGGGCACUGCCGGCCUUAUAACUGUCACCGACACACGUUGCGGGAUGACUAUCCGGCCGCUCCACGUGCGUGGUUUCACAUUCACGUCGGUCGGGUGCAUCGCUUCUCUGGACGCCUUCUGGUGGCGGUGGUACGUGGGCGUGAUGUAAGUCUCUAUAUUAACACAACCCAGGAAAGGACUAACGAGGACGCUUGGUGCCUUCUAGCAGCGGUGGAAGGGGGGCACGUUGUAAGGCCCUGUUGGAAGGGGCUGACGGG
rnacentral:rRNA from 1 species